rnacentral:rRNA from 1 species
AUACGGAGGGUCCAAGCGUUAUCUGGAAUCAUUGGGUUUAAAGGGUCCGUAGGCGGGCAAUUAAGUCAGAGGUGAAAUCCCACAGCUCAACUGUGGAACUGCCUUUGAUACUGGUUGUCUUGAAUUAUAGUGAAGUAGAUAGAAUAUGUAGUGUAGCGGUGAAAUGCUUAGAUAUUACAUAGAAUACCGAUUGCGAAGGCAGUCUACUAACUGUAUAUUGACGCUGAUGGACGAAAGCGUGGGGAGCGAACAGGAUUAGAAACCCUAGUAGUCC